AUGUAGCUAUAGAGUUCAGCAUUUUUCUACUUCAGGCUAUUUCUUUGAUUCUGCAACUUUUUGUCUCCCACUUUAAGGAUCACCCCAUUCCUGGGCCUGACGUCUUCUCUGUGAUCAUUAAGCCAAUUAUAUUGUAGCUGUGUCUGAAGCUUCCAAUCUAUGCAGGACUGUCGGAGAAAUGUGUUCUAAUUCUGCCUAUUUUCUGUCUGAUUCUUAGCUGGUGUGCUCUUCUCUAUGAUCCUACUCCCUGGCUGUGUGAGGCUCUUCAUGUCUUCAAAGGAGAUGAUGUACACAAAAGCAUCUGGUGCUUGAAGCCUAAAAUUUGGGAGAAUUCUAGAUUUGGCAUCUUGGAGAAAUAGCAGAAGAAGGUGUAACUGGAGAGAAGAGUACUGGAGAACACCAGAGCUCCAAAUGGUAACUGGCUAAAAGCAACAAUAACUAUAAAGCAUAUCAAGUUCUACAUAUAAUUAAAAUACUUAAAUCAAGAAAAAGAACUUUGUUCCCUCCAGUAAAGAACCUAUGAUCUACAAGAACAGAAGAAAAAAAGCAAAGGCCAUGUAAGUUAAAAGUAAUUCAAUUUAGCUCUUUUUUGUUCUCUUUGCUAAAAAAUGAAACAAAUGUUCUACUUGCUGAUUUU
rnacentral:lncRNA from 10 species